rnacentral:rRNA from 1 species
GCUAGGAGGCGUCGAGCGGCGGACGGGUGAGUAAUGCAUAGGAAUCUGCCCGGUAGUGGGGGAUAACCUGGGGAAACCCAGGCUAAUACCGCAUACGCCCUACGGGGGAAAGCAGGGGAUCUUCGGACCUUGCGCUAUCGGAUGAGCCUAUGUCGGAUUAGCUUGUUGGUGAGGUAAUGGCUCACCAAGGCGACGAUCCGUAGCUGGUCUGAGAGGAUGAUCAGCCACAUCGGGACUGAGACACGGCCCGAACUCCUACGGGAGGCAGCAGUGGGGAAUAUUGGACAAUGGGCGAAAGCCUGAUCCAGCCAUGCCGCGUGUGUGAAGAAGGCUUUCGGGUUGUAAAGCACUUUCAGUGAGGAAGAACGCCUUCGGGUUAAUACCCCGGAGGGAAGACAUCACUCACAGAAGAAGCACCGGCUAACUCCGUGCCAGCAGCCGCGGUAAUACGGAGGGUGCGAGCGUUAAUCGGAAUUACUGGGCGUAAAGCGCGCGUA